UGCGUAGGGGGCAAGCGUUGUCCGGAAUUAUUGGGCGUAAAGAGCGCGUAGGCGGUCCGAUAAGUCGGCUGUGAAAGUCAGGGGCUCAACCCUUGAAAGCCGGCCGAUACUGUCGGACUAGAGUCCGGAAGAGGCAAGUGGAAUUCCCGGUGUAGCGGUGAAAUGCGCAGAUAUCGGGAGGAACACCAAUGGCGAAGGCAGCUUGCUGGGACGGUACUGACGCUGAGGCGCGAAAGCGUGGGGAGCAAACAGG
rnacentral:rRNA from 1 species